CAUGCAGUCGAACGAAGGCUUCGGCCUUAGUGGCGCACGGGUGCGUAACGCGUGGGAAUCUGCCCCUUGGUUCGGAAUAACAGUUGGAAACGACUGCUAAUACCGGAUGACGACGUAAGUCCAAAGAUUUAUCGCCGAGGGAUGAGCCCGCGUAGGAUUAGGUAGUUGGUGUGGUAAAGGCGCACCAAGCCGACGAUCCUUAGCUGGUCUGAGAGGAUGAUCAGCCACACUGGGACUGAGACACGGCCCAGACUCCUACGGGAGGCAGCAGUGGGGAAUAUUGGACAAUGGGCGAAAGCCUGAUCCAGCAAUGCCGCGUGAGUGAUGAAGGCCUUAGGGUUGUAAAGCUCUUUUACCCGGGAUGAUAAUGACAGUACCGGGAGAAUAAGCUCCGGCUAACUCCGUGCCAGCAGCCGCGGUAAUACGGAGGGAGCUAGCGUUAUUCGGAAUUACUGGGCGUAAAGCGCACGUAGGCGGCUUUGUAAGUAAGAGGUGAAA
rnacentral:rRNA from 1 species